rnacentral:snoRNA from 1 species
AGCUCUGAUGAAUCCAAAUAUUUCGCUGUGUUCUUUCCGAGUUAAAUCAUUGAAGAAACAUAUAUUUCACCUUGGAGAACUGAGAU